rnacentral:rRNA from 1 species
GCUUAGGCGUGUGACUGCGUACCUUUUGUAUAAUGGGUCAGCGACUUAUAUUCUGUAGCAAGGUUAACCGAAUAGGGGAGCCGAAGGGAAACCGAGUCUUAACUGGGCGUUAAGUUGCAGGGUAUAGACCCGAAACCCGGUGAUCUAGCCAUGGGCAGGUUGAAGGUUGGGUAACACUAACUGGAGGACCGAACCGACUAAUGUUGAAAAAUUAGCGGAUGACUUGUGGCUGGGGGUGAAAGGCCAAUCAAACCGGGAGAUAGCUGGUUCUCCCCGAAAGCUAUUUAGGUAGCGCCUCGUGAAUUCAUCUCCGGGGGUAGAGCACUGUUUCGGCAAGGGGGUCAUCCCGACUUACCAACCCGAUGCAAACUGCGAAUACCGGAGAAUGUUAUCACGGGAGACACACGGCGGGUGCUAACGUCCGUCGUGAAGAGGGAAACAACCCAGACCGCCAGCUAAGGUCCCAAAGUCAUGGUUAAGUGGGAAACGAUGUGGGAAGGCCCAGACAGCCAGGAUGUUGGCUUAGAAGCAGCCAUCAUUUAAAGAAAGCGUAAUAGCUCACUGGUCGAGUCGGCCUGCGCGGAAGAUGUAACGGGG